CCUGAUUCGAGCUGAUCCAGCCAUGCCGCGUGUGUGAAGAAGGUCUUCGGAUUGUAAAGCACUUUAAGUUGGGAGGAAGGGCAGUUACCUAAUACGUGAUUGUUUUGACGUUACCGACAGAAUAAGCACCGGCUAACUCUGUGCCAGCAGCCGCGGUAAUAA
rnacentral:rRNA from 1 species